ACUCCUACGGGAGGCAGCAGUGGGGAAUAUUGCACAAUGGGGGAAACCCUGAUGCAGCAACGCCGCGUGAGUGAAGAAGGUUUUCGGAUUGUAAAGCUCUGUUAGCAGGGAAGAGGAAGGACGGUACCUGCAGAGGAAGCCACGGCUAACUACGUGCCAGCAGCCGCGGUAAUACGUAGGUGGCAAGCGUUGUUCGGAAUAACUGGGCGUAAAGGAUGCGUAGGCGGUUGAGUAAGUUAUGUGUUAAAUAUAUAGGCUUAACCUGUAGAAAGCACAUAAAACUGUUUAACUAGAGUGCAGGAGAGGUAAGUGGAACUCCUAGUGUAGCGGUGAAAUGCGUAGAGAUUAGGAAGAACACCAGUGGCGAAGGCGACUUACUGGACUGUAACUGACGCUGAGGCAUGAGAGCAUGGGGAGCAAACAGGAUUAGAUACCCUGGUAGUCCAUGCUGUAAACGAUGGGUACUAGGUGUGGGUUGUGAAUAACAAUCCGUGCCGUCGCAAACGCAAUAA
rnacentral:rRNA from 1 species